UACGUGAAACCGUUGAAAGGGAAGCGAAUGGAGUUAGCAAUUCGCCUCGUCAGAUUCAGUCGAACGCUCGUCGCGACGCACGCGCUCUCGAUCUUCGUAGACGGGACGCGKGCGGACGCGACGCUCGUUCGGCGCACUUCUGGCGGGCGAGCGUCGGCGGCGAUUGCCGUUGGGAUAUAUUUAGUCUACUUGUUCGCUAUCGGUCUCUCGUGGGUUCGCUAUAGCCCCGCGAUCGCACGGCCCGCUCGGCGACCGUGGCAUCG
rnacentral:rRNA from 1 species